rnacentral:misc_RNA from 1 species
GCAAACUUGGUCAUUUAGAGGAAGUAAAAGUCGUAACAAGGUUUCCGUAGGUGAACCUGCGGAAGGAUCAUUAUCGUAGGGCUUCAGCCCUCGCGAGAUAGCACCCUUGAUUUUUCAUGAGCACCAUAUGUUUCCUCGGUAGGCUCGCCUGCCAAUGGGGACUUCUUGAAACCCUUCUGCAAUGAGCAGUGCUCUUGUCUGAUAAAGUAAGCAAAUGUAUCAAAACUUUCAACAAUGGAUCUCUUGGUUCUGGCAUCGAUGAAGAACGCAGC